rnacentral:rRNA from 1 species
GACGAACGCUGGCGGCGUGCUUAACACAUGCAAGUCGAACGGAAAGGCCCUGCUUUUGUGGGGUGCUCGAGUGGCGAACGGGUGAGUAACACGUGAGUAACCUUCCCUUGACUUUGGGAUAACUUCAGGAAACUGGUGCUAAUACCGGAUAGGAGCUCCUGCUGCAUGGUGGGGGUUGGAAAGUUUCGGCGGUUGGGGAUGGACUCGCGGCUUAUCAGCUUGUUGGUGGGGUAGUGGCUUACCAAGGCUUUGACGGGUAGCCGGCCUGGGAGGGUGACCGGCCACAUUGGGACUGAGAUACGGCCCAGACUCCUACGGGAGGCAGCAGUGGGGAAUAUUGCACAAUGGGCGGAAGCCUGAUGCAGCAACGCCGCGUGCGGGAUGACGGCCUUCGGGUUGUAAACCGCUUUCGCCUGUGACGAAGCGUGAGUGACGGUAAUGGGUAAAGAAGCACCGGCUAACUACGUG